UUUUAUCCUCCGGGCUGCUUCUGCUGCAGCUGAAGGCACACUGCUCCCUGAGUGCUCAUGGGUUUCUACCUUGGAGCCAGCUGGCUGCACUGGAGUGGGACUGGGAGGAGUUGGAGGGCCCGAGAUGGGACAGGUGCUAACUGAGGGCACCUCUACCCAUCUGGCUUUCAUUUUCCAAUCUGGCACCUUGUCCAGGCGGGCCUCCCGUUUCUGGCUCCGGGCUGAGCUUCCUGGAGAAGAGGAAGAGGGAGCCCACAGCUGUGGGAGGGGCUGCUACUGCUGCCGCUGCUGCCGCUGCCGCCGCUGCCGCUGCCGCCGCCAUUGGACAAACCUCACCAGUACCUGCACAGGAGAAACACCACGGAUCACAGCGCGAUCUGAAUGGGUGCGUGCUGGUAAAGCCCGGCCCGUGUACUCCACCUGCCCCAGGAGCUGGAGACAAGACCUUGUGGCUGCGCAGCGGAAACCUUGCCUUGUGACCCCUGGAACUGGCUUUCUUGACUACUCCUUCCCCAGAGCAGCCAAGUUCCACUCCCGCUUUCCCCACACAUUACCAGGAGGUUCAACCUCUCUGGCAGAUCAUCUCUUC
rnacentral:lncRNA from 1 species